UAUAUUGUAAAAAGUCAUUAAUACAAAUGCUAAAAUAUAAAAUAUUUGGUUUUAUUAACUAACCCAAGUGCAAUAGCCAUUAUUUUUUUGUUACCAGUCAUUACAUAAAGUAAUUCUGUCAAGUAAUUCGGAACAGUUUCAUGCAGGCAUUUAACGUAGGCAAUACAUUUGUAAAAGAAACGAUGCUAAUUUUUUAAUGAAAUAAAAGGCAAAGAUUUAAAGAAAAAAGGAAUCGAAUGCAAAUUGAGUGCAAAAGCUAUAACAAAAUCAUUAAAAAAGUUUUAUCAUAAAUUUUGACCUUAUACCUGUAUAUUUAUUCAGAUUUGUGUUAUAAUAUGUGAUUGAGGCGUAUAAUUGUGAGAAGCAUAACAGCGCAAAAGUUUUACACAAAAAAACCAUCCAACAUACAAAUAACUAACUUAAGAAGACAGCCGGUUAUCUGGGGUCUAAAGAAUGUUCCGCAAACGCUCUUCUUAUCCGCGAUUUUAUGAGUUUGCACUAAGCAAAAAUGAAGCAUUAACAGUUUGGGCCUAAUAACACAAACAAACCACCAGAAGAUACACGUAUGCAGCUAUAGAUGUUUUUUAACUAAAGAUUAAUCAUAAUAAUGCUAAACUGAAAAAUCUAACAAUGAAAACACAUGAUGGUAAUACUCAAAACCCAUACCGUAGGCGAAAACUGAUGAAUGAGAACAAAACAAUUCCAUAAUGCAAGGUCUAACAACCAUAGUUGAUCUAGUUAACUGUUCUGUGAUUUUCUUUAAUUUGAAGUAAUAAAAGUUCAAGGUAAAGAUAUAGUUGUAAAAAUCUGGUGCAAAAUAUGUGCUAAGCAUACAACAUAGUUCAAAGCAAAACAUCAAUUUUUGGUUGUACUAGUAAUUUUUUAAACACUUUUUAAAUGGAACUGGCAUUGUAACACAUCAGGUUAAAAGUCAUUCAUCAACAAAAUGUCACUUAGAGGUGGUUAGAAUAGAAGAAAAUAUCAUAAUGACAAACACCAUUGAAUCUCAAAUAAAAGAAUAAUGACAUAUGAAAUGGCUCUGCAUCCAACUAUGCUGCAUAGUCAUUUUGAGGUUCUUGUGAAGGUUCAACGUGAUAACGAUGUCAAUCUGUUGCAAGGAAAAUGCAACAAAA